CCUACGGGGUGCAGCAGUGGGGAAUAUUGGACAAUGGGCGAAAGCCUGAUCCAGCCAUGCCGCGUGUGUGAAGAAGACCUUCGGGUUGUAAAGCACUUUCAGUGGGGAAGAAAGCCUUGGGGCUAAUACCCUCGAGGAAGGACAUCACCCACAGAAGAAGCACCGGCUAACUCCGUGCCAGCAGCCGCGGUAAUACGGAGGGUGCGAGCGUUAAUCGGAAUUACUGGGCGUAAAGCGCGCGUAGGCGGUCUGAUAAGCCGGUUGUGAAAGCCCCGGGCUCAACCUGGGAACGGCAUCCGGAACUGUCAGGCUAGAGUGCAGGAGAGGAAGGUAGAAUUCCCGGUGUAGCGGUGAAAUGCGUAGAGAUCGGGAGGAAUACCAGUGGCGAAGGCGGCCUUCUGGACUGACACUGACGCUGAGGUGCGAAAGCGUGGGUAGCAAACAGGAUUAGAUACCCGAGUAGUC
rnacentral:rRNA from 1 species